rnacentral:rRNA from 1 species
UCUGUUAAUAUUUUAUAUUAUUAAUUUAUUAUUAUUAAUAUAAUAUUAACAUAAUUCAUAUUACUUUUUUUGAGUAUAUGAAAUUUUACUUUGAGAAAAUUAGAGUGCUUAAAGCAGGCAUUUGCCUUGAAUACUCCAGCAUGGAAUAAUAUUAAAGAUUUUUAUCUUUCUUAUUGGUUCUAAGAUAGAAAUAAUGAUUAAUAGGGACAGUUGGGGGCAUUUGUAUUUAACAGUCAGAGGUGAAAUUCUUAGAUUUGUUAAAGACAAACUAAUGCGAAAGCAUUUGCCAAGGAUGUUUUCAUUAAUCAAGAACGAAAGUUAGGGGAUCGAAGACGAUCAGAUACCGUCGUAGUCUUAACCAUAAACUAUGCCAACUAGAGAUUGGAGGUUGCU